rnacentral:rRNA from 1 species
CAGUCGCCGCGGUAAUACGUAGGUGGCAAGCGUUGUCCGGAAUUAUUGGGCAUAAAGGGCUCGCAGGCGGUUUCUUAAGUCUGAUGUGAAAGCCCCCGGCUCAACCGGGGAGGGUCAUUGGAAACUGGGAAACUUGAGUGCAGAAGAGGAGAGUGGAAUUCCACGUGUAGCGGUGAAAUGCGUAGAGAUGUGGAGGAACACCCGUGGCGAAGGCGACUCUCUGGUCUGUAACUGACGCUGAGGAGCGAAAGCGUGGGGAGCGAACAGGAUUAGAUACCCCUGUAGUCCCUGUCUCUUAUAC